rnacentral:ncRNA from 1 species
CCUCUGGACUAUUAUAUCAAACGAAAGUAGCGUUGCGAAAUCGGAUAGGAAGAACGAGGAA